GACAAUUCCAAACAAUUCAUAAAUAAACUACAAAGUUUAGACACACAUUUAUACAAAUUUCGAAAAGACACUAUUAACAACGCGGCUUUUCGGUUCAACAGUGAUUACAUCGACUUUUGCAAGUUCUGAAGCAUGGAAUUACAUAAAGGCCUGGCUAAUCGGAACGAGUUUGCCAAACCGAAUAUUCAACACCCUGCGGCGCACAAUUAUCAUGUCGACGGAACAUCAAAUCUUGGCUAACAAAACUUUUGCAAACACGAUGGAGCUCAAGGUCUUUUUUCAGUACUUGUUAUGUAAGCCUUCUUAGCGAAUAUGAGCAGUACUCCCAACCAUAGCCAGAACUGUACCAAAAACGACCAACACUGCGUCAUAAUUUUUUUUAAAAACUAAAACUUGUAUUUUUAAAAUUUGUACCAAAUAUAUUGACUAUAACUUCAA